rnacentral:rRNA from 1 species
UCAGGACGAACGCUGGCGGCGUGCCUAAUACAUGCAAGUCGAACGGUCUUUCUAUGGAAGCUUGCUUCCACUGAGAAGAUAGUGGCGAACGGGUGAGUAACACGUGGGGUAACCUGCCCAUAAGAGGGGGAUAACAUCCGGAAACGGGUGCUAAUACCGCAUAGUUUUCUUGAUCGCAUGAUUGAGAAAGGAAAGACGGCCUUUGUGCUGUCGCUUAUGGAUGGACCCGCGGCGUAUUAGUUAGUUGGUGAGGUAACGGCUCACCAAGACGAUGAUACGUAGCCGACCUGAGAGGGUGAUCGGCCACAUUGGGACUGAGACACGGCCCAAACUCCUACGGGAGGCAGCAGUAGGGAAUAUUGCACAAUGGGGGAAACCCUGAUGCAAGCAACGCCGCGUGAGUGAUGACGGCCUUCGGGUUGUAAAGCUCUGUCUUCAGGGACGAUAAUGACGGUACCUGAGGAGGAAGCCACGGCUAACUACGUGCCAGCCGCUGC